rnacentral:rRNA from 1 species
AGAGUUUGAUCUGGCUCAGGACGAACGCUGACGGUGUGCUUUAGACAUGCAAGUCGAACGAGAAAGCCCUUCGGGGUGAGUACAGUGGCGAACGGGUGCGUAACACGUGGGCAAUCUACCCCUCGCAGGGGGACAACCGGGGGAAACCCCGGCUAAUACCCCGUACGCUCUAAGGGUCGCAUGGCCUUUAGAGGAAAGGUAGCUUCGGCCAUCCGGCGAGGGAUGGGCCCGCGGUCCAUUAGCUAGUUGGUGAGGUAACGGCUCACCAAGGCGACGAUGGAUAGCUGGUCUGAGAGGAUGAUCAGCCACACUGGGACUGAGACACGGCCCAGACUCCUACGGGAGGCAGCAGUCGGGAAUCUUGCGCAAUGGGCGAAAGCCUGACGCAGCAACACCGUGUGAGCGACGAAGGCCUUCGGGUUGUAAAGCUCUGUUGUUGGGGACGAAGGGCGAAGGGUUAAUAGCCCGGAGCCUGACGGUACCCUUCGAGGAAGCCCCGGCUAACUACGUGCCAGCAGCCGCGGUAAUACGUAGGGGGCGAGCGUUGUCCGGAAUUAUUGGGCGUAAAGAGCGUGUAGGCGGUUCGGUAAGUCUGCUGUGAAAUCCUGGGGCUCAACCCCGGGCGUGCAGCGGAUACUGCCGGGCUAGAGGAUGGUAGAGGCGAGUGGAAUUCCCGGUGUAGCGGUGAAAUGCGCAGAUAUCGGGAGGAACACCAGUAGCGAAGGCGGCUCGCUGGGCCAUUCCUGACGCUGAGACGCGAAAGCGUGGGGAGCGAACAGGAUUAGAUACCCUAGUAGUCC